AGUGAACGCUGGCGGUAGGCCUAACACAUGCAAGUCGAACGGCAGCACAGUAAGAGCUUGCUCUUACGGGUGGCGAGUGGCGGACGGGUGAGGAAUACAUCGGAAUCUACUUUUUCGUGGGGGAUAACGUAGGGAAACUUACGCUAAUACCGCAUACGACCUACGGGUGAAAGCAGGGGAUCUUCGGACCUUGCGCGAUUGAAUGAGCCGAUGUCGGAUUAGCUAGUUGGCGGGGUAAAGGCCCACCAAGGCGACGAUCCGUAGCUGGUCUGAGAGGAUGAGCAGCCACACUGGACCUGAGACACGGUCCAGACUCCUACGGGAGGCAGCAGUGGGAAUAUUGGACAAUGGGCGCAAGCCUGAUCCAGCCAUACCGCGUGGGUGAAGAAGGCCUUCGGGUUGUAAAGCCCUUUUGUUGGGAAAGAAAAGCAGCAGGUUAAUACCCCGCUGUUCUGACGGUACCCAAAGAAUAAGCACCGGCUAACUUCGUG
rnacentral:rRNA from 1 species